GAAUCCUGAUGGCAAUGAGGCAUCUUCAACAAAUCUCCCACGUCCCCUCCAGUUGGGGUCUGCUGGUGACAAAUCAUCCUCCUGCCAGUUCAUGUCUACAUCUUAUGUCUUGUCCUCACCUGUGUCUAGUUAUAAUAUGAGAAACAUCAGGCACCAAAUACCUUCUGGUGCCCAGCACAUCAGUGCAAUUAUUUUAAUAGAUUUAGACAGACUUAAUUGGGACAAAAGGUGUCAGAAUGCUUGAGUAACCAACUGUAAAUCCUACAUAACCAACAUUAUUAAGGAUGAAGGAAGCUUCUGAGAGAAAGAGUAACUCCUUAAAAGAAACCCCAAAACAACCAGUCUACCACACUUGGUGUCUUAGGCCAGGCUGCUGUGACAACAUACCAUAAACCAGAGGGCUUAACAGCACAAAUUUAUUUCCAUGCAGUUCUGGAGGCUGGAGGUGUGAGAUCCAGGUGCCAGCAAGGUUGGAUUUUGGGGCGGAUGCUCUUGCUGGCUUGUACAUGACCGCCAUCUUGUGUGUCUUCAUACGACAGACAGAUUGAGCUCUUUUCUUGUAAGGAGAGUAAUCCCAUUGUGGAGCCCUACCCCCAUCUGGCCCUAAUGACUUCCCAAGGGCCCCACCUCCUAAAACCAUCCCAUUGGGGGAGUAAGCCUUGCACAUGUGAAUUCUGGGGGGCUGGGGGGGAGACAUGAUUCUCUCCAUGCACCCAGCCUUCCUGUUGUGAUAAACAGCAUCAUCCAGACACUCAAACCAGAAUCAUGGAGCGGAUGCCUGACUCUUCCUUCUCCUCAUCCCCCCACAUUCAGUACAUCUUCAGGCUUUGUCAAGGCAUAUACUUCCAGUCUGCCCCAUAGUCUCCAUCAUGGCAUCCACCAUCCCAGACGCAGCCGCCACCAUCAACCUGGACCAUGAUCACAAUCUACUGCUGUGUUCACUCUCUCUUUCUUAUCAUUCUCCAAGCACUGAUGCAGAUGGAGCCUCCAUGACUCCAUCUGCAGGGACUCGCUUGAAUGCCGCGGGCUCUAAGCAACUGUACAUCACCCCACUGCACCCUCCAAGACCCGAUGAUCUCAUGCUUCAGCCUCCCCACGUCUCCCUACCUGUCACCUGCCCUCCUGCAUCAGGCACAUCACACUUCCCUGGGCUCUUUGGACCCACUCAGUCCUUCCUGUAUCCAAGAGAUGGAUCAGAAGCAAUAAUUAUAGAAAUGACAGGAGACAAAUGUAGUCCGCCAAACACAUUGUCAGAAAGAAAUUAUGACAUUGGAGGUCUCAACAGAAAACAAAACAAAACAAAACAAAAAAUGGAACCAAUCCUAGACAUACUCUAGUGGAUUUCUCAAACCAGAUAAAAUAAAGAAAACUCUCCAAGGGUCUACAGGGGAAUAAAAAUAAAACAACAAAAGAGUCAAACUGGUCUAGCUUCAUUUCAUCUCGGACAUUAGAAAUGACACAGUGGUAUUGGAUUGCCUGGCAUUGAUAGGGGGCAAAAAAAAAUCAUUAUUAAUUCCACAGAGGGACUUUUGGGGAAUGAGCCAUUUCUCCCCAAAUACCAUUACAAUAAUUUCAAAUACAGUUUAUGCAAUCCAUGGCAUUUCACUCAGUAAUUGUGCAGUGCUGCAAAGCUGUGUUGCGUACAGGGAUCUGUGUUAAGGAGUCCUACAGUGAAAUCUUUAUCCCCUAAAACAGACAGUUUUUGUCACGGUUGAUUAUUGCAUCCGAAAUACUUAGAACACAGAAAGAGGGUUUCAUUCUUAAUCCAUGCUUCAAAAAAAAAAAAAAAAAGAAGGCAAAACAGAUGAUGAUUUACAAAUGUCUUGCUAAAACUAGGGUGCAGAGAACGUAUCCGUGCCCUCACAUCUACAAAGCCAUGGGACAGGAACAAAAUACCCUUAACAGGAUUUUCUGACUAUGACCAAAUAUAUUUGCAUUUUCCUCGGUGAGGGACAAAACCAGAAUUGGCUGAUUUUAAUGGUUUCAAUACUUCCCUCUGUAGCUUAGUGCCCCCUUCAAGUGGGGGGAAAGUAUUCCCACAUUAAAAUUUAGAAUGAAAAACCUUUUUAAGAAUUUAUGUAUUUUCUGAAAUCCCCUCAAAUGUCAUGUGCUACAAAAAAAAAAAAAAAAACAAAAAAAAACAUUUGUUUGGGAAAGACAAGGUGGGGUAUUUUAAGAACUGAGCAUCUAUGACUGUGCUGACAAUGUUAUCCUCUAUAAUUUCAGAAAUUCGGGAUGCUCCUUUUACUUUACCGAGGACCCCGCCUGACACGUAGGACAUGGCAUUGGCGUGAACCAAACUCUCAGAGACCUACGCCUGCACCAUCCAUGCUCAAGGUCUUGGCUUCCAAGAUUGGGCCACCAUCUCCAGAGGCAGCAGAAGGAGCUUCCCUGGAAGGUGGUCUCUGAUGGCAGUUGCAUUUCAUUUAUUAGAGAGAGAGAGCAUGAUCAGGAGGCAGAGAGAGAAGCAGGCUUCCCGCAGAGCAGGGAGCCCAAUGCAGGGACUUGAUCCCAGGACCCUGGGACCGUGACCCGAGCCGGAGGCAGACGCUGCAGAGGUCCCAGAACGCGGGUGAGGCUUCAGCAAGUGGAAUAAACCCAGAGCUGAAUGAAGACAUGAAGCACAGUGUCUCGGAGGACACGAGGCAAUUGCGUGGCGUCCCUCGUUGGAUGCUCUUCCGUGGCCAUCAGGCGGCUGUGAACACGGACGCGGCCAGACCGUGCCGUGUGCCGAUGACACCUGAGUGCAUUGCACCUGCUUCUUUGGUGCCGUGGGGCGGCCGUAACAAAUGUCCCCGCGCUUGGUGGCCCAGCACGAUGGAAGUGUGUUCUCUCCCAGCUCCGGAGCCUGGACGCCCAAAACCACCGUGUGGGCAGAGCUGGGUCCUCCCGGAGACUACGAGGGCACCUCUGUGGCCGGGCUUCUGUCCCAGGAAGAUUAAAACGACAAAACAGCAAGAAUACACAUGAAAGUACUUUGAACGGAAACUGAAAAAUCCGUUGGUCCGAGGGGAACGUGGUAGAAGAUUAAGUGGACGAGGAUGCUCCGUGGGCUGCAGGAAACACAGCGCUCCGUGUUGGACAGAAAGCACCCGGACCAGACUGGGUACCCACCGUGCUAGACUCAGAGUCAUCGCUUUCACAUUGUUUGCUCGGGGCAGGGACGGUGCCCAACGAGCCCGUUACUCCCUUACAAACAAACCCAGGGCCAUCCGUUUCCCUGGUGCAUUUCCCUGUUCAGACCACAGCAGGAUGGAUUUCCGGGGACUCUCAGAUGGUAAUGUUUAAGGCGAAACAAGAAGUCUUCUGUGCACCUGCUCCGGAAGACGAGUCUCGGGAGCAUUGCCCACUGGGAAAACCCAUCACGGGCAGCCCACAUUUUGUGUUGACGGGCUUGUGCACAGCCAAGCGGUGACCUGGCCAUCCUUGUGACCGACUGGAACCAACCAAGACGUGGAGGGACCGGGAUGAGGGGUUCAGGUGGCUCCUAACCUGGUGGGAGCUACUAGGCUGGAUCAUAGGGGGGACUUUUUAAAUCUCUGGUUUCACCCCUGUAGGUAUUGGCCCGCAUGGUGCCCGGCAAAGUCAGCUCCUGGGUGUGCUAGGAUCUGCCCACGGCAACGUCAUUGGUGAAGAUCUUUGCUUUGGGCACAACGGGGAUGAGCCGUCCUGGGGUGGGCGCCUUACCAGGAAUCUGUCUCCGCUUGGGGGGGACGACCAGCCUCUUUGUGUUGCUGAGAACAUGAUAGACCCUUUGGACUUUGGCUCUUCCAAACUAUGUCCCCUCUCUCCCCUGCAAACAGCCCCCGCCCUCCACCGCUAAAACCGCUACCCUCUCCAAAUGCAAGAAGAGAACUUGCCAUCCUAUAAGAUCCUAUAAGGGCUUUCUUUCUUUCUUUCUUUUUUAAAUUAAGAUGAGCGCCCUUGAAUUGGAAAUGUCUCUUCUUGCUGUAGAUUUUGAAGACACCAUUUUCUUCCUAAUUUCUCCACCUAUGGCCGCUCCUCGCGGUGGUAAUAGGACAUCACGCUGAAAUUUGGGACUAAUGUCUGAAGCUUUCUUACUGUUUUGUUUUGUUUUUUUUUUUAAUGACUGGCAUUUAAGACGACAUAUCGAAAACCAGCUCCUCACUGUCGGAUUCAAUUCUGGAUUAGAAGCACUGUUAACCGUUUCCGCGCAGACGACCUUAACAGAGCAGUUAGGUCCCAAGCAUGCUCCAAUGUAGGAGAAAAAAUAAAGGAAGUGGGGCCGGGAAGAGAGCUUGGCAUGGAUGGGUCUCGCCGCCGUUGAUUGCCGACCUGAUUUUAAAGUCAGACAUGGGAUCUGCUCCCCCCCUCGGGUGCUUUCUGCUGCGUAGCUACUCGUCCUUGAUUCGAAGACCUAUUAUUUCAAGUCAUACAAUCGUGGGUGGGACAAGUCCCCGCGAGUCCUUUAACCUGGGGCUCCCCGUGUCAGUGCCGAGAGUUUGACGGUCAGUGGAAGGCAGUGAGCUGGUCCCGGUGAGGGAUGGGCAGGUGCCUGACCCCCGCCCCCAACACACACACAUGCACACACGUGCACAUAAUACAAUUUUUAUUCGGGUGGUACCGCCUUGCCUUUCUGAGGGUGCCACCUACGUCCAUGUUUACUUCUUUUUUUAAAAAAUAUUUAAUUAUUUAUUUGAGAGAGAGAGCAGGUAGAGGAGCCAAGGGACAGAGAAUCUCAAGCAGACUCCGUGCUGAGUGACGAGCUGGAUGUGGGGCUCGAUCCCAGGACCCUGAGAUCGUGACCUGAGCUGAAACCAAGAGUUAGAUGCUUAACCGACUGCGCCACCCAGGUGCCCCCCCAUACCCUGUUUACUCCUCCCCUUUCAACCUGAAUGCUGUGUGUUUAUCUCUCUAACAAUCACACAGCCCCGGUUAGGACUCCCCAUACGGUGCAGAACUGCACCGAUGAGAUCAGACGCCUUUCCCUCGUCCGCACACGUGGCUGGGAAAGCGUGUGUUCUCCCCGGGAUUCAGAAACCCCCCUCAAUUCCGAGCUUGCUGAAGGUCAUCAGUGCCAGGUGGAUUUUAUCAAAGCCUUCCUCUGUCAAAUCAAGAUGACCCUGUCGGUUUUUCUUUCUCCCACCUGUUAAAAGGGUGGGUACCUGAUACCAGGUGGGUACCUGAAUUCCUUGUCAUGAAGGAGCCCGGAAUAAUGUCCACCAUAAGCCAUGCUUGGUCAGGAUCUGUCAUGCUUUUUCUACAUGUGAUUGGGGCGCCUGGGUGGCUCAGUUGGUGAAGCGUCUGCCUUCAGCUCAGCUAAUGAUCUCAGGGUCCUGGGAUCGAGUCCUGCAUCGGGCUCCCUGCUUACAGGGGACCCUGCUUCUCCCUCUCCUCCCCGCUCAUGCUCUCUCUCUCUGACAUAUAAAUAAAUAAAAUCCUUAAAAAAUGUAUUUCUAAAUGUGAUUUGCUGAUAUUUUGUUGAGGGUUUUUGCAUCUUUGCCCACAAAGGAGAUCCAUCUGUGGUUUACCUUUCUUGUCUUCUCUUUGUUUUUGCAUCUAGAUAAGUCUGCUCUCAUAAAAUGACUUGUAAGUCCAGUUUUCUUGAUAAUUUUUGUACAAUCUGUGAUAUGUUAUCACUAAAUGUGUCAGAGAAUUCAUCAGUAAAACCGUUUGGACCUGGAGUUUUCUUUUAAAAAAAAAUGCUUUUAGCUAACAAUUUGAUUGAUUUCAUCAAUACAGGACAACUCAAGUUACCUAUCUCGUCUUGCAUGGGUUUUCUGAGGAUGUGAGGAAUUGCUCUAUUUUAUGUAAACUGCUUAACUGAUAGGUAUACGUUUUUUGUUAUUAUUUUCUUACUAUCGUAUCACUUUCUGCAAGACCUGUGAUGAAGUUGGCCUUGGGGCUGAGCCAGAGCCGGCAAAAGAGGGGAAAAUAUCAGAAUCUUCCCAGUUGCCAAAUUCCACCUGUUCGGGUGAAUUCCAGGAGACAACAGAGAAAAGAAAUGUGUGUCUGUGUCCAAAUCCCCCUCUUCUUGAAAGGACACCAGUCACUGGAUUGGGGGCCCGCCCUUCCUAGCACAACCUCAUCUUCACUAAUUACAUCUGCAAAGACCGUAUCUCCAAAUGAGGCGCACGUCGAGAUGCAGCGGCGGCAUGUCCCCAAGCCCGUCUGUACCAUCUGCUCUCUCGGAGGGCUGCUGAGUGAUUCGGCCACAGCAUGCUGAUACAGAGCCACGUGGAUUCUCGGAGAUGCCCACUGCGGCCUCAUCGACAAGCUGGGCAGGGGACCGAGGCGGGUAGAGCACACAGGGCAGUUUGGACGAGACUUCAGUCACCCUCAGGUCACAGCCUGGGUGUCCUGGUGCUGGAUGAUGCACAGGGAGCGUGGACACAGUCACCAGUCCACGGAAGGCCCUCCCAGGAUGGCCAACAGUGAACAGAGAGGGUGUGUCUGAGCUGGGCAGUGUGCACUCCCGUGGAGACCCGCAUGGUGCAGCUCCAGGGUGGACCAGGAGCUCGCUCAGCUUGCACAAAGCUCCGGGUUCUGGAAGACUCCAGACACACUCACAGCGGGCUGGCCCCACUGCUGUCCACUGCCCCCUCCAUAUCGAAGCCCUAUGUCCACUGUCCUGCUGUGAGGAGCACGGCCCUGUCUCCCCUGGGUCCUGACUCCCCGGAGACGUGUGGCGAUGCCAGGUGUCGGGAGCAGGAGCUGGGUGGCCAGGAUGAGCACGCCUGCCCUUCCUGAGCUCGAGAAGGACGAGGGCCGCGGUCCGUGCCGCAGACGACACGGUGAGGAAGUCACACCACCCAGGUAUGUGAGCGCCUGGGGCUCCAGCUGAGGGUUUCCUCCUCCUCACCGUGGCAGACGUGGGGGACGUGGGGGAGGCGCUGGGUGUGGGGCCUGCGUCUAUAUCACUCACCAACCCCCCACCGUGAUGCAACACACGCAUGUUGCACGCACACACACGAGACGCAUACCUCUCACACAUGCGUGUGCAUCCACACCCGCUCUCACACUACGCACACGUCCACGUGCUCACACAUGUGGCCGCCCCCACCCUCAUCAUUACCAGGUUCCCUUCUUGUCACCGCCAUCUCUGAAAAGCUCCACUUUCUGUUCCGGAUAGAUGUCUCGUUAGUAAUGUCAUGUAAUUAUUAAUAAUUAUUACUUAUUAAUUUGUUAUAGAUAAGUAUUAA